rnacentral:rRNA from 1 species
CUGUAGCAAUACAGGUAGUAAAGUGGCGCACGGGUGAGUAAUAUGUGAGUAACCUGUCUUCAAGUGGGGAACAACACUGCGAAAGUGGUGCUAAUACCCCAUAUUUUCGCAAGGCCAAAGCCGAGCGAUGAAAGGCGGCGACCUUCGGGGCUGUCGCUUGUUGAGGGGCUCACACCCCAUUAGCUAGUUGGUGAGGGUAACGGCCCACCAAGGCGAUGAUGGGUAGCUGGUCUGAGAGGACGGCCAGCCACACUGGCACUGAAACACGGGCCAGACUCCUACGGGAGGCAGCAGUGGGGAAUAUUGGACAAUGGGCGGAAGCCUGAUCCAGCCAUGCCGCGUGUGUGAAGAAGGCCUUUUGGUUGUAAAGCACUUUAAGCGAGGAGGAGGCUACUUAGAUUAAUACUCUAGGAUAGUGGACGUUACUCGCAGAAUAAGCACCGGCUAACUCUGUGCCAGCAGCCGCGGUAAUACAGAGGGUGCGAGCGUUAAUCGGAUUUACUGGGCGUAAAGCGUGCGUAGGCGGCUGAUUAAGUCGGAUGUGAAAUCCCUGAGCUUAACUUAGGAAUUGCAUUCGAUACUGGUCAGCUAGAGUAUGGGAGAGGAUGGUAGAAUUCCAGGUGUAGCGGUGAAAUGCGUAGAGAUCUGGAGGAAUACCGAUGGCGAAGGCAGCCAUCUGGCCUAAUACUGACGCUGAGGUACGAAAGCAUGGGGAGCAAACAGGAUUAGAUACCCUGGUAGUCCAUGCCGUAAACGAUGUCUACUAGCCGUUGGGGCCUUUGAGGCUUUAGUGGCGCAGCUAACGCGAUAAGUAGACCGCCUGGGGAGUACGGUCGCAAGACUAAAACUCAAAUGAAUUGACGGGGGCCCGCACAAGCGGUGGAGCAUGUGGUUUAAUUCGAAGCAACGCGAAGACCUUACCAGGUCUUGACAUC